AAUGGCGAAUCAUGCAUAUUAGCGAAUCCAAAUCCUCCAGCUACUACUGAUUUGUGUACGCUGCUUGCAUGUCCAGACAACAGUCAAUGCGUGAUAACUCUAAAAAAAACUGCAAUAUGUGUAUGUGGAUGCGGUUAUUAUUUAUUUGACGGAUUAUGCC